GUUUUUCUAUUGGUCCACGGCACUCAGCUUCCGUUUUGAACCCAAACUGUACUACUUGGUGGUGAUUGUAACAGCAGAGGUGUGUUUUUGCUUUUCAUCCCUUAGUUUUUAGAUUAGUGCAGUUUGAUUUGACAGUUGGGCUUUACGUUUUUUGAAGUUAAUUCACGUGAUAAAUACAAUAAGCAAUAGCAAAUCAUUAUUAGACCUAUACGAACAUUAUGGAUAAAUAUUUGCUACUUGGUUGGUGAACUUGGUGAAUUUUGCAGAUCUAAUCAAAGAUGGCAAGACAGGGAGUAUCAAGACCAAAGGUAGUGGUUGUAAGCUAUUACAUAUGUUUUGUUAUUAUAUAUUAUAUAAGUUAUUGUACGUUGUUUUGUUUUAUCACUAAAUAAAUUAUGUUUUGCAGGUGAUCUCAUCAGGCAGGCUGACAGGCUCUGGACGUGGACAGAUACACAAGAAAAGACUCUGAAGAUCAGGUAAAGAAGCCACAUACAAGUAGUGUAUGCAUAAACUGAACAGCACUGAGAAUCAGUAUAAUGAUUUUUGUCACGUUGCAAAUUGCAUCCAGGUGACAACAAUACACAAGGGACUCGACCGAUGUGCUGCUUUACUCAAUGGGAUACUUCAAGCUGAACAAGCAGGGAACAAAAACCUGCACCUUCAAAUCCAAACCCAAGAAUUUAUUAAGAAAAAUUGAAACUGACAAGAAAAGGCAUGGGAAGAAGACAAACACAGCUAUACAUGCAAACAAAAGGCCAGCUCCAGUGCAGAAGAUGAUUCCAUCUGCCAGUUGUCACCUGAGUUCAGCAGGGCGUCGUGAUCAGAACUUUGGGAUCAGACGGGCACAAGUGUCACAGGAUCCUCCUUCAGGACUGACCCCUGUAACGCAAGCAGAACACGAACAGCAAAACUCACUUCCACUGGCCUGCUCUCAGCUUGCUGCUAGCUGUAAUAUUCCAUCUUCGGAUCAGGUUCACACAUCCACUGUAUUUAACUGUCGGCUGACAACAUCCACACCUGCACUGAGCCCUCAGAGACCUGGAUCAGUUCACAGUGAACCUGUAUGUUGUUUACUGCACUAUAAUCCACUAUGCAAACAAUGAGGGCUGUCGAUCCAUUAAAAAUGAAUCAAUCAUUUAAAUUACACAAACACACACACACACACACAUAUAUAUAUAGUAUUAAUGAUAAAAUCACCCAAACCAAGAUAAUUCAACAACAUUAUUGUGGCAGACGAGUAAAGCAUUUGAUAGAAAUGGCAAGUGGAAGUAAAUAUAUUGUUGUUUUAUUAUUAUAACUGAACAUAAGCCUAUCACCAUAGAAUUUAAUACAGACCACAUUUGCAUUGUCUACACUAGCUUGUUGGCCUAUGUACUGUUCAUAUGUGACAGAGUUCAAUUCAAGUUCAAAUUUUUUUCUUAUGCU
rnacentral:lncRNA from 1 species